rnacentral:rRNA from 1 species
AUGUGCCCAGAUGGGAUUAGCUAGUAGGUGGGGUAACGGCUCACCUAGGCGACGAUCCCUAGCUGGUCUGAGAGGAUGACCAGCCACACUGGAACUGAGACACGGUCCAGACUCCUACGGAGGCAGCAUG